CCUACGGGUGGCAGCAGUGAGGAAUAUUGGUCAAUGGUCGGGAGACUGAACCAGCCAAGCCGCGUGAGGGAGGAAGGUCCAGAGUAUCGUAAACCUCUUUUGUCAGGGAACAAAGACUGGGACGCGUCCCAGGCUGAGUGUACCUGAAGAAAAAGCAUCGGCUAACUCCGUGCCAGCAGCCGCGGUAAUACGGAGGAUGCGAGCGUUAUCCGGAUUUAUUGGGUUUAAAGGGUGCGUAGGCGGUCUGUUAAGUCAGCGGUAAAAGCGCGGGGCUAAACCCCGUCCCGCCGUUGAAACUGGCAGUCUCGAGUUGGAGAGAAGUAUGCGGAAUGCGCGGUGUAGCGGUGAAAUGCAUAGAUAUCGCGCAGAACUCCGAUUGCGAAGGCAGCAUGCCGGCGCCACACUGACGCUGAGGCACGAAAGCGUGGGUAUCGAACAGGAUUAGAUACCCCAGUAGUC
rnacentral:rRNA from 1 species